rnacentral:rRNA from 1 species
UACGGAGGAUCCAAGCGUUAUCCGGAAUCAUUGGGUUUAAAGGGUCCGUAGGCGGGUUAUUAAGUCAGUGGUGAAAGUUUUCGGCUUAACCGAAAAAUUGCCAUUGAUACUGGUAGUCUUGAAUUAUUGUGAAGUAACUAGAAUAUGUAGUGUAGCGGUGAAAUGCUUAGAUAUGACAUGGAACACCAAUUGCGAAGGCAGCUUACUACACAGUUAUUGACGCUGAGGCACGAAAGCGUGGGGAUCAAACAGG